AACAGGCCUACUGGUGCUUCCAACUCAGCUGCAUGUGUCACGGGUUGGAUAUUAAUUGUGCAUGUAUUUUGAUUAUGUUUGUGACUUGAUCUACUGUGAUUUUGAUUUGGAUAUUGUGUGUGGUUUAGUGUUGUGAUUGGUGUUUUGGUUGUAGUGCUUUUGUGUUAUUUUUCUAUUCGUUAAUUGGCUAACAACCCGUGAACUUCGACCUGUACAAUGAGGCUAUUGAUUGGACUGUAGAAUAAGAACAGGAAAUAAAGACCGGACACCGAGAAGGAGAGGAGCAGAAGACUACCGGAGACAGCUUGAAGCGGUGGAAGAAAUUACUACGCGAGACACAAGAUCUACGAGCAAGAGGAUCCACGCAGGAUCCCGUAUACCCAUAAGGCUCGACGUGCGCACCCCGGGGAAUGGGCUACUACUGCCUGUGACCCGGACAGAGUCCCUUUCCUGCCAGUUAGACGAAGGCCGAACUCCGGUGGAAAGAAGCGGAUUGCUCGGCUGGUCGCCGGUGUACGCUGCAUCUCAGGGACUGGGACAUUUGCAUAGAUAUGGUUUUUCAUAUAUAUAUUUUAUUGCUCGAUGUUUUAAGUAUUGUAAUGUAAUUUAUUGUUAAUGUAAAUACCUAUUGAAGUUGUGGUGAAAUAAAAUAUUGAUUAAAGUAUA